rnacentral:rRNA from 1 species
AUUGAACGCUGGCGGCAUGCCUUACACAUGCAAGUCGAACGGCAGCACGGGAGCAAUCCUGGUGGCGAGUGGCGAACGGGUGAGUAAUAUAUCGGAACGUGCCCGGUCGUGGGGGAUAACGUAGCGAAAGCUACGCUAAUACCGCAUACGAUCUACGGAUGAAAGCGGGGGAUCGCAAGACCUCGCGCGAUUGGAGCGGCCGAUAUCAGAUUAGGUAGUUGGCGAGGUAAAGGCUCACCAAGCCGACGAUCUGUAGCUGGUCUGAGAGGACGACCAGCCACACUGGGACUGAGACACGGCCCAGACUCCUACGGGAGGCAGCAGUGGGGAAUUUUGGACAAUGGGCGCAAGCCUGAUCCAGCAAUGCCGCGUGCAGGAUGAAGGCCUCGGUUGUAAC